rnacentral:rRNA from 1 species
UACGUAGGGUGCAAGCGUUAAUCGGAAUUACUGGGCGUAAAGCGUGCGCAGGCGGUUUGUAAGUCAGAUGUGAAAUCCCCGGGCUUAACCUGGGAACUGCGUUUGAAACUACAAGGCUAGAGUGUGACAGAGGGGGGUGGAAUUCCACGUGUAGCAGUGAAAUGCGUAGAGAUGUGGAGGAACACCGGAUGGCGAAGGCAGCCCCCUGGGUUAACACUGACGCUGGAGGAGCGAAAGCGUGGGGAGCGAACAGG